AACUAGGAUUAGAUACCCUAUUAUUUAAAAUGUAAAUAAAUCGCUAAAGUAGUAAUAGUUAUGUUCUUGAAACUUAAAAAAUUUGGCGGUAUUUUAGUCUAUCUAGAGGAACCUGUUUUUUAAUCGAUAAUCCACGAUGGACCUUACUUAAAUUUGUAAUCAGUUUAUAUACCGUCGUUAUCAGAAUAUUUUAUAAGAAUAAUAAUAUUCAAUAAUUUUAAUAAAAAUUUAUAUCAGAUCAAGGUGUAGCUUAUAUUUAAGUAAUAAUGGGUUACAAUAAAUUUAUUUAUAUGAAUAAAAUUAUGAAAAAAUUUUUGAAAGUGGAUUUGGUAGUAAAAUUAUAAAGAUUAAUAAUUUGAUUUUAGCUCUAAAAUAUGUACACAUCGCCCGUCGCUCUUAUUAUUAAGGUAA
rnacentral:rRNA from 1 species